UACGAAGGGGGCUAGCGUUGCUCGGAUUGACUGGGCGUAAAGGGCGCGUAGGCGGUUCGUACAGUCAGACGUGAAAUUCCUGGGCUCAACCUGGGGGCUGCGUUUGAUACGUGCGGACUUGAGUGCGGAAGAGGGUCGUGGAAUUCCCAGUGUAGAGGUGAAAUUCGUAGAUAUUGGGAAGAACACCGGUGGCGAAGGCGGCGACCUGGUCCGAUACUGACGCUGAGACGCGAAAGCGUGGGGAGCAAACAGG
rnacentral:rRNA from 1 species